rnacentral:tRNA from 1 species
GUUGUGGCUCAGGGGUAGAGCACUCGCCUAGGACAUACGAGGCACUGGGUUCGAUCCUCAGCACCACA